CAGUAGCCGCGGUAAUACGUAGGUGGCAAGCGUUGUCCGGAAUUGUUGGGCGUAAAGGGCUCGCAGGCGGUUUCUUAAGUCUGAUGUGAAAGCCCCCGGCUCAACCGGGGAGGGUCAUUGGAAACUGGGAAACUUGAGUGCAGAAGAGGAGAGUGGAAUUCCACGUGUAGCGGUGAAAUGCGUAGAGAUGUGGAGGAACACCAGUGGCGAAGGCGACUCUCUGGUCUGUAACUGACGCUGAGGAGCGAAAGCGUGGGGAGCGAACAGGAUUAGAUACCCCCGUAGUCCCUGUCUCUUAUAA
rnacentral:rRNA from 1 species